rnacentral:tRNA from 1 species
GGAGUGAUACCCAAGUGGUCGAAGGGGCGGGCUUGGAAAGCUCGUAGGACGUAAAAGUCGCUAGGGUUCAAAUCCCUAUCGCUCCGCCA